rnacentral:rRNA from 1 species
GUAAUGUCUGGGAAACUGCCUGAUGGAGGGGGAUAACUACUGGAAACGGUGGCUAAUACCGCAUAACGUCGCAAGACCAAAGAGGGGGACCUUCGGGCCUCUUGCCAUCAGAUGUGCCCAGAUGGGAUUAGCUAGUUGGUGAGGUAACGGCUCACCAAGGCGACGAUCCCUAGCUGGUCUGAGAGGAUGACCAGCCACACUGGAACUGAGACACGGUCCAGACUCCUACGGGAGGCAGCAGUGGGGAAUAUUGCACAAUGGGCGCAAGCCUGAUGCAGCCAUGCCGCGUGUAUGAAGAAGGCCUUCGGGUUGUAAAGUACUUUCAGCGGGGAGGAAGGUGUUGUGGUUAAUAACCGCAGCAAUUGACGUUACCCGCAGAAGAAGCACCGGCUAACUCCGUGCCAGCAGCCGCGGUAAUACGGAGGGUGCAAGCGUUAAUCGGAAUUACUGGGCGUAAAGCGCACGCAGGCGGUCUGUCAAGUCGGAUGUGAAAUCCCCGGGCUCAACCUGGGAACUGCAUUCGAAACUGGCAGGCUUGAGUCUUGUAGAGGGGGGUAGAAUUCCAGGUGUAGCGGUGAAAUGCGUAGAGAUCUGGAGGAAUACCGGUGGCGAAGGCGGCCCCCUGGACAAAGACUGACGCUCAGGUGCGAAAGCGUGGGGAGCAAACAGGAUUAGAUACCCUGGUAGUCCACGCCGUAAACGAUGUCUACUUGGAGGUUGUGCCCUUGAGGCGUGGCUUCCGGAGCUAACGCGUUAAGUAGACCGCCUGGGGAGUACGGCCGCAAGGUUAAAACUCAAAUGAAUUGACGGGGGCCCGCACAAGCGGUGGAGCAUGUGGUUUAAUUCGAUGCAACGCGAAGAACCUUACCUGGUCUUGACAUCCACGGAAGUUUUCAGAGAUGAGAAUGUGCCUUCGGGAACCGUGAGACAGGUGCUGCAUGGCUGUCGUCAGCUCGUGUUGUGAAAUGUUGGGUUAAGUCCCGCAACGAGCGCAACCCUUAUCCUUUGUUGCCAGCGAUUAGGUCGGGAACUCAAAGGAGACUGCCAGUGAUAAACUGGAGGAAGGUGGGGAUGACGUCAAGUCAUCAUGGCCCUUACGACCAGGGCUACACACGUGCUACAAUGGCGCAUACAAAGAGAAGCGACCUCGCGAGAGCAAGCGGACCUCAUAAAGUGCGUCGUAGUCCGGAUUGGAGUCUGCAACUCGACUCCAUGAAGUCGGAAUCGCUAGUAAUCGUGGAUCAGAAUGCCACGGUGAAUACGUUCCCGGGCCUUGUACACACCGCCCGUCACACCAUGGGAGUGGGUUGCAAAAGAAGUAGGUAGCUUAACCUUCGGGAGGGCGCUUACCACUUUGUGAUUCAUGACUGGGGUGAAGUCGUAACAAGGUAACCGUAGGGGAACCUGCGGUUGGAUCACCUCCUUACCUUAAAGAAGC